CAAUGUACUGUACCUUUUUGUAUAAAUACCGUAAUAAAUAUGAUUAAAAUAAAACACAAUAUCUUUUAAACAACUCGGCUAUUCAUUCCCAAAUAACUCCGGAAGAAAGCAUUCGAUAAGGGCAAUGACUGCACAUGAACACUAAGGGCACACAGCCUACUCUAAGCAACUGUGCAAGCAUUAAAUUUGAUGUUGUUUUCAGGUCAUACCAAGCACCAUUGAUGGUAUGAAUAUUCAAGUUCCUAUACUGCAGUGCACAACGUGUUAAGGAUGCAGAUUACUAGUGAAAAAUUGUGGCAUUGAUCAUAGAGUACAAAGGGGCUUAUGGUUGGGAAACAGAUGGUGUGUAGCAAGCAUUCACUGCGCUCUGGCUAUGGAUGUACCGGCCAUGCCAGAAAGCGGUAACUGGCCAGAUGUUAUAGCCUGGGCAGUUCAAACUCCUUCUGUGUCCUUCCUCCAUGAUGGUUUAACAUGGUAAAGUAUCGGUGUACAUCAACCUUUGACAUCUCUACAAGUGUACAUAUAUUUUAUUGAGAUAAGAAACGUUAGUCAUUAUACCUGUAGUGUUAGAAUCACUAAAUUAAUGCCCUUAAUGAAGUGAUUUUUAAUCAAGCCUAAGUCAUUGCUGUGUGAAGCUGGAUCACAAACAAAAUGAGACUGCUUUUUGCACAUAGAGUAAGGUAAAAUUUCCGCAUGCUGUACCUACACAUGUAGCAUGCAAAAUGAAUGCAUACAUGUUGUUCAUGCCAUGUUUCUUACUCAUCAGUCAUUUGAUGCAUGUAUAAGUACCCUAUUAACAAAUUCUUGUGAACUCUAAUUUUGUCAAAACUUAAGAGUAUGCACUUUAUCCUCGGUAUAUGUGCACAUACUUCUCUGAAGGAAGUGUCUUCUGUGAGGGUACAUGUACUGAUAGGUGUUUUACUGCAUGCAUUUCACUAAGGCUAAGACAUGGUAGUUCAUGAUUUUUAUUAAAUUACUUGAUUUAAAUUUCUUAAUUUAAAUCCAAAUUUGUUUAAUUUGUUUUGUUUAACAAAAACUAUUAAACAUGCAGCUAAUUUGUUUGCUUUUGAAAAGACAUUUAAACCAACUUGUCUCACAUUUUUAUGAAAAUUAAAAAUCUGAUUUAAAUUUUUGAAAGUCCAAUUUUGUGGGUUUUUUUAAGAUAAAAAAAUAAACAUCCCUUAAAAAUAGUUAAACCAGCAAGCGUCACAUGACACCCUUUUGACCAGUCAAAAUACAGAAUCUGUGAGUAAGGUGUUAUAAAUAGAGAUAACCUUACAUGGUGUUGCUGCAACCUCUUUACCCAAGUAUUCCCUCAUUGAAUGAAGAAGGGGAAUGGUGGAUACCAUUUCAACUGGUGCCCAGUGCACAGCACUGUACAUGCAAGUAAAAAUUGGUCAGGUUAUUUUGUUCUGCAUUGUCUGUUCAUAAAGAAUAGACCAUGCCACCUAUCCGCUCCAAGCAAGACCAAGAGAGGGCGUGUGUUUUAGAGCAACAGCAUCCCUUUGGUGGGAACUCACUACGUGUGUGUGCAUGUUAAUGCACGUCAGUUGGCACUGGAUGCACUGAGUACUUGCAAUUAAUUUCGGUGUGCGUGUACAGUCUUCACAUGUGCAUGAGUCCCACUUAGAAAACCUCCCACCGACAUCUCUUCUUUUCUAAUGAGGGCUGCCAUCAACUCAAGGCAGAUGGGGCUUGGUUAUAUAUCAAGGAUCUUGCUUGUAAAGGGGCCUGCCUUUAGAUUUGAUAUAGAAAUACAUGUAUUUGUUAAAGCUGCACUAAAACGGAGUUGAGAAUUGUGAUUUUGUCCCUCAAAUAGCAUGGGUAGGCAUUCACCGUGUUAUGGGACUAGUUCUUUUGUUAGGGAAAUUUGAACCGAGUUGUGGGGACAUUUCUGAGUCCCCACAACAUUUUCAGUCCCCACAAAAUAAGUGAAAUGUUGAGAGUAUGUCCCCACAGCUACGGUGCAGGAGUGCAUGUACUGUUGUAAUUCUUCACAAAUAUUUGCAAACAAAACAUUUCCUGCAUUUUCUUAAGUCAGAAAGAAAGCAGAGUUUUGGGCCCUUUUGUCCAGGCUGAACAAGCCUUUUGCAAAAAUGGCAGUGUCGUCAUCCAGCAAUUUGCAUGCGCAUGUCCUGCAUAAUGCAUGAAUGAACGAUGAUGUACAUGUAAGAGGUGGCAUUCAAUUGGUGCACACUGUACUGUACAUGUAGAUGUACAGCGCUAAAUUCCAAAAAAAGAAGACGUCUGGGAAGAACACAGCAUUGACGAGGAAGAAGUUGAUUUAUCUGAGGCCAGCAACAAAGAUUCAUCAGAUUUGGACCAACCAGAUGACCUCGAGGGCGAUGAAAAAAUAGUUGAAAUAUGCAGUGCCGAGGCCUACCGCUUCGAGCCAGCCGGAUCAUACCGAUGACGAUGGGGGCGGUAACGCUGCAGCAGCUUUAGGGUGGACAAGAGCACAAUCGGUUUUGGAACACAGAUUGGUAAAGUGGUGGAGUUGUGGGCGCUGUUAGGCAGAAACGCUGUCCAGGGCACUCUUUUCCAGAAAUAUCGCCACACGGCAUAUCAUCAAGCAGUUCGGUGAUGUUGAGGUUGGAUGCCACUACAGUCCCAUUGCCAUCAUGGACAACAUUCCCCAAAUGUAUCCAAAUGUAGAUGACUAGUACAAGGGAUUCCGAUAUCCUCAGUUGGAUUUUGUUUGUUUUUUGUAUCUAAGGUGAAAACACAUCACACCAUCUUGUUUGUUGUGCAUUCCAACUCUUUUAAUUCUCUUCAAUACAACUUGCUGCUUUCGACUCACUGCUGUCAACUUAUUCUAUAACUUUACAAGCAGGUUUUCAAAUCCACACUGUGGUUACAGUACAUGUACAUGUAUUAAAUAUUGUAUGAUUACAUAUGUAAUACCUUGAAAUAAACCAAGCAUACCAGCAUGAAGCAUGUACUUGUGUACAUACAUGUAUAUU